rnacentral:rRNA from 1 species
UAGGGAAUCUUCCGCAAUGGACGAAAGUCUGACGGAGCAACGCCGCGUGAGUGAAGAAGGAUUUCGGUUCGUAAAACUCUGUUGUUAGGGAAGAAAAAAUGUAUAGUAACUAUAUACAAAAGAGACGGUACCUAACCAGAAAGCAACGGCUAACUACGUGCCAGCAGCCGCGGUAAUACGUAGGUGGCAAGCGUUGUCCGGAAUUAUUGGGCGUAAAGCGCGCGCAGGUGGUUUAGAAAGUCUGAUGUGAAAGCCCACGGCUCAACCGUGGAGGGUUAUUGGAAACUAAUAAACUUGAGUGCAGGAGAGAAAAGUGGAAUUCCUAGUGUAGCGAUGAAAUGCGUAGAGAUUAGGAGGAACACCGGUGGCGAAAGCGGCUUUUUGGCCUGCAACUGACACUGAGGCGCGAAAGCGUGGGGAGCAAACAGG